UUCCUACGGGCGGCUGCAGCAAGGAAUUUUCCGCAAUGGGCGCAAGCCUGACGGAGCAACGCCGCGUGCGGGAUGACGCUUUUCGGAGUGUAAACCGCUGUUCGUGGGGACGAAGCACUGACGGUACCCACGGAGGAAGGCCCGGCUAACUACGUGCCAGCAGCCGCGGUAAUACGUAGGGGUCGAGCGUUGUCCGGAGUUACUGGGCGUAAAGCGCGUGCAGGUGGCUCAUUACGCCCGGCGUGAAAGCCCCCGUCUCGACCGGGGAGGGUCGUCGGGGACGGAUGUGCUUGAGGGUCGCAGGGGCUGGUGGAAUUCCCGGUGUAGUGGUGAAAUGCGUAGAGAUCGGGAGGAACACCCGUGGCGAAGGCGGCCAGCUGGGCGACACCUGACACUGAGACGCGAAGGCGUGGGGAGCGAACGGGAUUAGAUACCCCAGUAGUCA
rnacentral:rRNA from 1 species